GAUGAACGCUGGCGGCGUGCCUAAUACAUGCAAGUCGAGCGAAUGGAUUGAGAGCUUGCUCUUAUGAAGUUAGCGGCGGACGGGUGAGUAACACGUGGGUAACCUGCCCAUAAGACUGGGAUAACUCCGGGAAACCGGGGCUAAUACCGGAUAACAUUUUGAACCGCAUGGUUCGAAAUUGAAAGGCGGCUUCGGCUGUCACUUAUGGAUGGACCCGCGUCGCAUUAGCUAGUUGGUGAGGUAACGGCUCACCAAGGCAACGAUGCGUAGCCGACCUGAGAUGGUGAUCGGCCACACUGGGACUGAGACACGGCCCAGACUCCUACGGGAGGCAGCAGUAGGGAAUCUUCCGCAAUGGACGAAAGUCUGACGGAGCAACGCCGCGUGAGUGAUGAAGGCUUUCGGGUCGUAAAACUCUGUUGUUAGGGAAGAACGAGUGCUAGUUGAAUAAGCUGGCACCUUGACGGUACCUAACCAGAAAGCCACGGCUAACUACGUGCCAGCCGCCGCGGUAA
rnacentral:rRNA from 1 species